rnacentral:lncRNA from 1 species
UUAACGGAGAGUGGGCAGAAGAGAAGAAGGUCCUCAUACGGAGUUGCACACUGACUUGAGUAGUGCGGGAGACUAGGGAAUGGGUUGAGUAAACUCCCCUGGGGUUGGAAAAAUAACAGACGAAGCUUUACUUAGAUAGGGCUUUGAUUGGUAUUGAUUUUUUCUUAGUGAUUGGAAAGAAGGGCGCCUGGGUAUAUCAUAGAAAGGGAAGGCCGAGGCAUCGAAUGGCAAAGAGAGGCGGCUCGACAAAGAAGGAAUGGGAAAUUGUCAAGGAUGACUUCUUUGUUGGCGAAACGAAGGGCGCUAAAGGCGCCAGUGAUUCUCUGAGCC